CCUCCUUUCAAGGGAGUAAUCCCGACAUUUCGAUGUUGGGAUACGGUCGAACCUGUUCGGCGGCCACGCGCAUACCAUAAAUUUCUGGCGGGAAUAACGCUAGUUCCUGCUAUUGCUGGAUGAUUAUUUUGGGCCUGUAGCUCAGGUGGUUAGAGCGCACGCCUGAUAAGCGUGAGGUCGGAAGUUCGAGUCUUCCCAGGCCCACUGUCUUUGAUAAGAUGAUCGAAUUUUCCGGCUACCCAGCUGUAGAAAUGAUGGGGCUGUAGCUCAGUUGGGAGAGCACCACACUUGCACUGUGGGGGUCGCAGGUUCGAUCCCUGUCAGCUCCACAAAAUUUCCCGCGAUAAGCGGGACGCUUUUUGACAAUUGGUCAGCGGUGAAUCGACGCUCAUUCACUGAAGAAUACAGGCAAAUGUAGGUAAAGCUACUAAGGGCAUACGGUGAAUGCCUUGGUACAUGGAGGCGAUGAAGGACGUGAUAAGCUGCGAUAAGC
rnacentral:misc_RNA from 1 species